CCUACGGGCGGCAGCAGUGGGGAAUUUUGGACAAUGGGCGCAAGCCUGAUCCAGCCAUUCCGCGUGAGUGAAGAAGGCCUUCGGGUUGUAAAGCUCUUUCGCAAGGGAAGAAAACUUACCUUCUAAUAAAGGGUGAGGCUGACGGUACCUUGAUAAGAAGCACCGGCUAACUACGUGCCAGCAGCCGCGGUAAUACGUAGGGUGCGAGCGUUGAUCGGAAUUACUGGGCGUAAUGCGUGCGCACGGAUGUGAAAUCCCCGAGCUCAACUUGGGAACUGCGUUUGAAACUGCCAGACUAGAAUAUGUCAGAGGGGGGUAGAAUUCCACGUGUAGCAGUGAAAUGCGUAGAGAUGUGGAGGAAUACCAAUGGCGAAGGCAGCCCCCUGGGAUAAUAUUGACGCUCAUGCACGAAAGCGUGGGGAGCAAACAGGAUUAGAUACCCGGGUAGUC
rnacentral:rRNA from 1 species